rnacentral:lncRNA from 1 species
ACUGAUCACAUAGACCCGCAGCACUCAGCCAGGCCCCUCACCCCGGCUCUGCUCUCAAGCCGGGCUUGGCUCCCCGCCUGCCCAAAUGCGUUCAACAUCCCCCGAAAGGCCAUUUCCCUUCCAGUCUUCCCGGAGAGAUGUCAGGGUGACGAGGGAGCUUAUCUUUCGGUGGCUCCGAAACAGCCACGAAGCCGAGCUCUACCAGUAACAAAAAUGGCGUCAUUCCGCCAGCGCCAGGACCUCUGUCGCUGGCCGUGGUCUCGCACUGCUUCUGGAGGCUCCCAUUCCAGCCAGAGGAGAGGUGCGUUUGGGGGCCCGGGGGAGUCCUCGUGAUAUCUCCGAGUUUGGGUAUUCGGAAUUGAUCCUACGAAAGCAGUGUGAGGCUUGGAAGGGCCGCGACUUGUCCGGACCUAACACCCUACAUGACUGCAUGGGAGAUACGGCCUAUAAGAAGAUGAUUAAGGUUAAUGAUGUCAGAAGGUGGAACCCUGAUUGGAGACAAGUGUAAGAGACCCAAGAGAUUCUCUCUCCGCCAUGUGAUGACACAGCAUGA